rnacentral:tRNA from 1 species
GGUAAAAUGGCUGAGUAAGCACUAGACUGUAAAUCUAAAGACAGAGGUUUGAGUCCUCUUUUUACCA